rnacentral:rRNA from 1 species
GAUGUUGGGUUAAGUCCCGCAACGAGCGCAACCCUCGCCUCGUGUUGCCAGCGGGUCAUGCCGGGAACUCACGAGGGACCGCCGGGGUUAACUCGGAGGAAGGUGGGGAUGACGUCAGAUCAUCAUGCCCCUUACGUCCAGGGCUUCACGCAUGCUACAAUGGCUGGUACAGAGAGUGGCGAGCCUGUGAGGGUGAGCGAAUCUCGGAAAGCCGGUCUCAGUUCGGAUUGGGGUCUGCAACUCGACCUCAUGAA